rnacentral:rRNA from 1 species
UUGUCGAAAUCUGCAAAGCAGAAUGACUUGCGAACAAGUGAAAAAAUCAUGGUUGAAAGGCGCCACCCCAGGGUCGCCUUCCAGCUUGACCAUUGGAGGCGGUUGGUUGGGCCUUGUGCACUCCCCCGCGUACCACUCGUGGUCGCAAUCAACAUACCUCAGCGCGGAAUGCGCCAAGGAAAACAAACAGAAGGUACGCUUACCCCUUGCACCGUAAAUGGUUGUGUGUGGCUCGCUUACUUCGCUUAAUCUAAUGUUACAACGACUCUCGGCAACGGAUAUCUUGGCUCUCGCAUCGAUGAAGAACGUAGCAAAAUGCGAUAGCUGGUGUGAAUUGCAGAAUCCCGUGAACCAUCGAGUCUUUGAACGCAAGUUGCGCCUGAAGCCGUCAGGCCAAGGGCACGCCUGCCUGGGCGUCACCCUCCCCCUUGCCAAAUGCAUGCCUCCUCCCACCGAAAAAAUGGGAAGAGCUAUUUGGGCGGAUAAAUGGCCUCCCAUGGCGAAUAUUUUCGUGGCUGGCCCAAAAUUAGCACUUGGCUCUUACGAAGCCACGACAAGCAUUGGCGAAAAACUCUGGUGAUUCCUUGGUCGUUGUUGUCGUGUGCUAGACUUUGUAGCGUGCUAGGAAAAUACCUCGGUGCAUGCAUAUGCAUCCUAAGAUUGUGCGACCCCAG